rnacentral:lncRNA from 1 species
GAGUCCGGUAAAACAAUCUAACUGUAAUCCGUGGAAUUAUAGUGAAUUCUCAAGAGAACGCUUGGGGAGUGGACGUAGGUGUCUUUGAGUGCACCGAACCACUAUACUUGCUUGUGUUUGCAUUGUGUUUCUUUGUGCUUCUUGCUUUACUUUCCUCCUUGCAUUGUGUAGUUGCUAUAGCUUAAUUUCUUACUGAUUGACUUGUGAUUGCCUAGAGCUUAAUUACAUUUGCUUCCACUGCAUUUAUACCUUUCACAUAGGUUAAAUUGUGCACUUAUGUAUAAGUUAAUUUGGGGUCAUAAUUCUUAGAAAAUUCAAUUUACCCCCCUCUUGGGUUGUCACCUUGGGCAACAGCUCUUGCUCUUGAUUGGCUUGAUUCGCCAAAAGGAUGAAGACUCGAUCUCCACGCUCGCCCCAUGAUUCAAUUGGGCUCUGAUAUUCAACUUUAAAGACCACGCAAUAGCACAUAUCUGGUAGGAUAGUAAUUACGGGUAUCGAUCCACAGGGAUUGGGGUACAGUUGUUUUCUUAAAAAUAUUUGAGAAUGAGAAUUUGUGAAAACUAUUGAACUAAAUAAUUUAAUAGGAAAUGCAAUUAAAAAUAUAUCAGUUGAGAGAACCUAGGGCAAGGAAUUCACUUCUGACAUAGUAACAAGGAUUAUUUGUAUUUU